GUCCCUACUCCCUUGACCAAGAGGCUCGGGUUCAAGCCUCACUUGCCUCAGAGACUGCAAUGUUACCUUUGAACAAGUUCCUCACGGAGUCGCUUCUGCACCAAAGGUUUUGACAAAGUAAACUCCAGAACAAUGUAUGACCUAGCUUCUGCAUAUUGCUGAAAUAUUUUAAAGUGCUUUUUUUUCCGAAUAAGAAGACUUACCUUGGAGCAGCUGAGAGCCGGAGCGGAGCGGGCUGGAGGCAUGGAGCAUUGUGAAGCGGCUGAGAACCGGAGCCGGAGUGGAGCUGGGUCAGUUGUUGGACUAGGUCUGGGCCAGGCGGUCAGUAGCUUGCAAGGCCAAUCAGACCACAUGUGGAAGCCCCUGCCCUGAGCUAUUGCCAUGUAAUGUUUAUCUGACUGUAAUGUUUAUCCUUUUAAUUAUGUCUUAUUUCUAACAUAUACUAUGAAUCACUGUGAGGUAAUGCAACUUCUCUUCUUUUUAUGCAUCUUUUUGUAUCUAAGAUUUGUACCUAGGUACUCUGUACCUAAGAUGGCACGAUGAGAUGCAACAUU